UACGAAGGGGGCUAGCGUUGCUCGGAAUUACUGGGCGUAAAGCGUGCGCAGGCGGUUAUGCAAGACAGAUGUGAAAUCCCCGGGCUCAACCUGGGAACUGCAUUUGUGACUGUAUAGCUAGAGUACGGUAGAGGGGGAUGGAAUUCCGCGUGUAGCAGUGAAAUGCGUAGAUAUGCGGAGGAACACCGAUGGCGAAGGCAAUCCCCUGGACCUGUACUGACGCUCAUGCACGAAAGCGUGGGGAGCAAACAGG
rnacentral:rRNA from 1 species